GACAGAGGGGGCAAGCGUUGCUCGGAAUCACUGGGCGUAAAGGGCGCGUAGGCGGGAUGGCAAGUCGGUCGUGAAAUCCUUCGGCUCAACCGAAGAACGUCGGCCGAUACUGCCGUUCUUGAGGGAUGCAGAGGAGAUUGGAAUUCCCGGUGUAGCGGUGAAAUGUGUAGAGAUCGGGAGGAACACCGGUGGCGAAGGCGGGUCUCUGGGCAUCUCCUGACACUGAGGCACGAAAGCUAGGGGAGCAAACAGG
rnacentral:rRNA from 1 species